AUUGAACGCUGGCGGCAGGCCUAACACAUGCAAGUCGAGCGAGCGGCGGGCAGGUGAGUAAUGUAUAGGGACUGCCCGAAAGCGGGGGAUAACUACUGGAAAAGGUGUGGAAAAACGCACACAGUCGGCUAACGCAGAUGGGAUUAGCUAGUGGGUAAGGUAAUGGCUUACAUAGGGGACGAUCCCUAGCUGGUCUGAGAGGAUGAUCAGCCACACUGGGACUGAGACACGGCCCAGACUCCUACGGAGGCAGCAGUGGGGAAUAUUGCACAAUGGGCGCAAGCCUGAUGCAGCCAUGCCGCGUGUAUGAAGAAGGCCCUAGGGUUGUAAAGUACUUUCAGUCGGGAGGCGUUACCGACAGAAGAAGCACCGGCUAACUCCGUGCCAGCCGCCGCGGUAAUAC
rnacentral:rRNA from 1 species